rnacentral:rRNA from 1 species
UACGUAGGGACCGAGCGUUGUCCGGAAUCAUUGGGCGUAAAGAGCGUGUAGGCGGCCACUUAAGUCCUGCGUGAAAUCUUGCGGCUCAACCGCAAGCGGUCGUGGGAAACUGGGUGGCUAGAGUGCGGGAGAGGAGAGUGGAAGUUCCUGGUUGAGCGGUGGAAUGCGCAGAUAUCAGGAAGAACACCCGUGGCGAAGGCGGCUCUCUGGAACGCAACUGACGCUGAGACGCGAAAGCGUGGGGAGCAAACAGG